UCAUUCGAUCACCGAAGUUAAGCAGUGUUGAGCACGAUCAGUACUUAGAUGGGGGACCACUUUGGAACAGCGGGUACU